rnacentral:rRNA from 1 species
CACGGGGGGAGCAAGCGUUGUUCGGAAUCACUGGGCGUAAAGGGCGCGUAGGCGGUCAGCACAAGUCAGUUGUGAAAUCUCCGGGCUUAACUCGGAAAGGUCAACUGAUACUGUGCGACUAGAGUGCAGAAGGGGCAACUGGAAUUCUCGGUGUAGCGGUGAAAUGCGUAGAUAUCGAGAGGAACACCUGCGGCGAAGGCGGGUUGCUGGGCUGACACUGACGCUGAUGCGCGAAAGUGUGGGGAUCAAACAGG